rnacentral:lncRNA from 1 species
UGUAAGAGAUAAAACGAUGUUGUUUUGGGAGACUCCAAAAUGGUGCCGUUUUAGGCAAAGAAAAACAUAGGCGUGUUUACCUCUUGUUAGGAAAGGUGAAGAAGCAGAGGUGUGUGUGCCUCUGCCACUAGCCGAAAAGAAAGAAGAGGAGACCUGCACGUCGAGGAAGAAGGGUCGUGCAGGACUCCUUUUUCCCCUCCCUACAAGACGCAAAGGGAGGGAAAGAAAUCGAUGC